GGCCUGGUGGUCUAGUAGUAUGAUUCCUUCUUAGGGCUGUUCGGUCACUUAAUUGGAGGAGGUCCCGGGUUCAAUUCCCGGCCAGGCCC
rnacentral:tRNA from 1 species